rnacentral:sRNA from 1 species
UGUUUUACUCUUUUGU